ACUCUAGUUUGACAUUGUGAAAAGACAUAGAGGGUGUAGAAUAAGUGGGAGCUUCGGCGCCGUUGAAAUACCACUACCUUUAUCGUCUUUUUACUGUGCGAGCGUGAACCCUUCAAUGGUGCUUCAAACGGGGACCGACGGCGGUUGCCUAAGAACAGAAUUGCGCUUGAAAACGAAUGUUGGACCGAGU
rnacentral:ncRNA from 1 species